UCUCACAAAAAAAAAGACUUUCCGUGUCCAACGUUUGACCGUCCGUCUUAUAUAAAAAAAAUUUUAUUAAUAUUUUUAUUAUUGUUAGAUGAUAAAACAUGAAUAAUAUUUUAUGAAUAACUUAUUUUUUAUAAUUUUUUUAUAAUUUUUUUAAAAUAAAAUAGACGGUCAAACGUUAGACACGGAAAUUGAGCAAUUGUG
rfam:Oryza rufipogon genomic scaffold, chr07